CUGGAAGGCAAGCGAGGAGGUAGCAGUAGGCACAGGGGAACCACUUCCCUAACCCCAGGACUCUCAGGUCUGCACGGUUUGGGACACAGAAGGAAGCCGCCGGCAGCAUCUUUUGCUGCUGAAAUGCAGAUGGUUUGGACACUUCAUAAAGAGGGCAUUAAUAAGCCCGCCGAGUGAGCGCCAGGGCGGGAUUCUCCCACAAAUUCAAGGAUGCAGACACACACAGAGAGAAGAACGUGUAAGAUGUCCAUCUGCAAGACAAGGAGAGAGGCUUCAGGAGAAAGCAACCCUGCUCACACUUUGAUCACAGACUUGUGGCCUCCAGAAUGAGACCGUGAAUCCCCUGAUUGCUGACUCCCUGGUCCCAGCACUGUGCUGAUGAAUUCCUGAUGUCCACGGAGCUACUACAAGAUCUGAGAUUUAUAGCUCUGAAACUUCAGAAGAUAAUCGAGAUGAUACCUUUGGAUAAAGAACCUGAAUGUAUCAACUAGACUGUUUGAAAAGACACAUUUUAAUAAAUAACCUGAAUAUAUAAGCCAGAUUGUUUCAAGGGCUGUAGAAGAAACAUUUUAAAUCCUUUCUCUGAAAAAACUAUUAAAAACACAGAAAACGGGAUACUAAUAGAAACAAUCCAGAAAGGCUUAGCAGGACAACUCAGCAAAACAACACAUCAAUGACCACUUUUAACAGUCUGUGGAAGUCUUUUGCCAGUAAGGGAAGCCAUGGAGUUGUCCUUGAUGCUUUUGUUUUUAGUCCUGUAACCUAGUCAUUAAAACCUCCCAUGGAACUUUUGCUUGGUGGCAUCUUGGAUUGGGAGAAGACAACGGUCUUCUUGUCUGUCACCUACACAUGUCAACGGUUGAGAGCUAUAAAUCAGUACAUCCAAAAAAAUUGCUCUUUCCUUGAUGUAAUCCCAAACGUAUCCAACAUACAAAUGAAAUUAGCUUCCUAUAAUUUAGUUGUCUUGUUCACAUACCUCAAGAUAAGCUUCUUCCAAGACGCCAUUCCCAAAGAAUAAAAAUUAGAAGAUCAAGA
rnacentral:lncRNA from 1 species